GCGAGAGUGGCGGAACUGGCAGACGCGCCAGACUUAGGAUCUGGUAGGGCGACCUGUGGGGGUUCGAGUCCCCCCCCUCGCA
rnacentral:tRNA from 1 species